CCUACGGAGGGGCUGCAGUGGGGAAUAUUGGACAAUGGGCGAAAGCCUGAUCCAGCCAUGCCGCGUGUGUGAAGAAGGCCUUCGGGUUGUAAAGCACUUUCAGUGGGGAAGAAAGCCUUGGGGCUAAUACCCUCGAGGAAGGACAUCACCCACAGAAGAAGCACCGGCUAACUCCGUGCCAGCAGCCGCGGUAAUACGGAGGGUGCGAGCGUUAAUCGGAAUUACUGGGCGUAAAGCGCGCGUAGGCGGUCUGAUAAGCCGGUUGUGAAAGCCCCGGGCUCAACCUGGGAACGGCAUCCGGAACUGUCAGGCUAGAGUGCAGGAGAGGAAGGUAGAAUUCCUGGUGUAGCGGUGAAAUGCGUAGAGAUCGGGAGGAAUACCAGUGGCGAAGGCGGCCUUCUGGACUGACACUGACGCUGAGGUGCGAAAGCGUGGGUAGCAAACAGGAUUAGAUACCCUAGUAGUC
rnacentral:rRNA from 1 species